rnacentral:rRNA from 1 species
UACGAGGGGGGCAAGCGUUGUUCGGAAUCACUGGGCGUAAAGGGAGCGUAGGCGGCUGUUUAAGUUGGAUGUUUAAAACCGGGGCCUAACCUCGGAGCGGCAUCCGAAACUGGGCAUCUUGAAUAGGUCAGAGGCUGGUGGAAUUGGAGGUGUAGCGGUGGAAUGCGCAGAGAUCUCCAAGAACACCUAUUGCGAAGGCAGCCAGCUGGGACAAUAUUGACGCUGAGGCUCGAAAGCAUGGGGAGCAAACAGG